UCCACAGCAAGCAAAUAACGGGCUCUUAGGGUUUUUUUUGUUUUUUCCCGUGCUUUAAUACAAAUAGCGGGAUUUUAUAAGUGUAAAAUAGCAGGAUUUUAGUUUUUUUAAAAUCAUACCUAUAAAACAUCAUAUAACACAGCUUAUUUGGAUAUAAUAUACAUAUAAUUAUUUCUAAAAUUUUUUCCAAGUGUGUCGCUAAACAUAAAAUAGCGCCCGCUAUUUCAUCGCUAUCGCUACGUAGCGUAUAGGUAGCGUGUCGCUAUUGUCCACUAUUCGCUAUUAAUAACUAUGUUCAAUAUUGACUCUUUCAAUAUUUUAGUACGUCGAACACACUAAUUAUCAGCUUCAGAGCUGAAAUAUUUGAAUAAUUAUUAGCUUCAGGUCUUAACGUUGACCAGCAGCACCCUUCAAAGGGGUUGAAGAAAGCUGCUAAUCAGGCCCCUAAAAUUGCUCCGAAAACAGUUGGGUUUAAUUACACUAGAGCCGUCCAAGGCAGCCAUGUAAAAGCUGGUUCGAGUCAACAAAAUGCCACCAAAACAGCCCCUGUCCCAGCUGUUAACAAAGGUCUGGCCGAAGACGGAAAAAUGAUACCGAUGUGGCGCGGAGUCGGACUGAUACGUACAUUAGGUCAUCGCUUCGAACAGCUUUUGCUCAGCAGCGACAGCCAGAGCCAGCGUAGGAGAUGGAGCCGGGUGGCAGUAUAAGAGCCGAAAGGACGUGUUUUGAUGACUUUUGAUUGAGGUUUCAUAGUUUUUCCGACAACCAGUGAGUUUAAGUGAAAAAAAAAUCGAACUUUUCAACCAUUUUGUCACUCCAACCAGCAUUUCGGUCUACUGGUGGUGUUGGCGAUGCUACUGACUCCGGCGGAGGCGGAGGUUGAAUGUAUUCACACGGCUUACAAAUCAUCGAUGUGGCACGAAGGCGGACUGAUACGUACAUUAGGUCAUCGCUUCGAACAGCUUUUGCUCAGCGACGGCCAGAGCCAGCGUAGGAGAUGGAGCCGGGUGGCAGUAUAAGAGCCGAAAGGACGUGUUUUGAUGACUUUUGAUUGAAGUUUCAUAGUUUUCCUGGCAACCAGUGAGUUUAAGUGAAAAAAAAAAUCGAACUUUUCAACCAUUUUGUCACUCCAACCAGCAUUUCGGUCUACUGGUGGUGUUGGCGAUGCUACUGACUCCGGCGGAGGCGGAGGUUGAAUGAAUUCACACGGCUUACAAAUCAUCGAUGUGGCGCGAAGUCGGACUGAUACGUACAUUAGGUCAUCGCUUCGAACAGCUUUUGCUCAGGUACGUUUUUAUUUGUUUUAAGUCAAUAAUAGCAUGGCUCAGAAAAUAUAUACCUGUCGUUAUGUGCAGCAAUUAACUGUUUGAUUUUGUACAGUCUG